rnacentral:rRNA from 1 species
GAUGAACGCUGGCGGCGUGCCUAAUACAUGCAAGUCGAGCGAACAGAUGAGGAGCUUGCUCCUCUGACGUUAGCGGCGGACGGGUGAGUAACACGUGGAUAACCUACCUAUAAGACUGGGAUAACUACGGGAAACCGGAGCUAAUACCGGAUAAUAUAUUGAACCGCAUGGUUCAAUAGUGAAAGACGGUUUUGCUGUCACUUAUAGAUGGAUCCGCGCCGCAUUAGCUAGUUGGUAAGGUAACGGCUUACCAAGGCAACGAUGCGUAGCCGACCUGAGAGGGUGAUCGGCCACACUGGAACUGAGACACGGUCCAGACUCCUACGGGAGGCAGCAGUAGGGAAUCUUCCGCAAUGGGCGAAAGCCUGACGGAGCAACGCCGCGUGAGUGAUGAAGGUCUUCGGAUCGUAAAACUCUGUUAUUAGGGAAGAACAAAUGUGUAAGUAACUAUGCAUGUCUUGACGGUACCUAAUCAGAAGGCCACGGCUAACUACGUG